UACAGAGGGUGCUAGCGUUGUUCGGAAUCACUGGGCGUAAAGGGUGCGUAGGCGGGUCUUUAAGUCAGGGGUGAAAUCCUGGAGCUCAACUCCAGAACUGCCUUUGAUUCUGAAGAUCUUGAGUUCGGGAGAGGUGAGUGGAACUGCGAGUGUAGAGGUGAAAUUCGUAGAUAUUCGCAAGAACACCAGUGGCGAAGGCGGCUCACUGGCCCGAUACUGACGCUGAGGCACGAAAGCGUGGGGAGCAAACAGG
rnacentral:rRNA from 1 species